rnacentral:rRNA from 1 species
GGGGAAUCUUGCGCAAUGGACGAAAGCCUGAUCCAGCAAUGCCGCGUGAGUGAUGAAGGCCUUAGGGUUGUAAAGCUCUUUUACCCGGGAUGAUAAUGACAGUACCGGGAGAAUAAGCCCCGGCUAACUCCGUGCCAGCAGCCGCGGUAAUACGGAGGGAGCUAGCGUUGUUCGGAACUACUGGGCGUAAAGCGCGCGUAGGCGGUUUCUCAAGUCAGAGGUGAAAGCCCGGGGCUCAACCCCGGAACUGCCUUUGAAACUAGGAGACUAGAAUCUUGGAGAGGUCAGUGGAAUUCCGAGUGUAGAGGUGAAAUUCGUAGAUAUUCGGAAGAACACCAGUGGCGAAGGCGACUGACUGGACAAGUAUUGACGCUGAGGUGCGAAAGCGUGGGGAGCAAA